GAUGAACGCUGGCGGCGUGCCUAAUACAUGCAAGUCGAGCGAACAGACGAGGAGCUUGCUCCUCUGACGUUAGCGGCGGACGGGUGAGUAACACGUGGAUAACCUACCUAUAAGACUGGGAUAACUUCGGGAAACCGGAGCUAAUACCGGAUAAUAUAUUGAACCGCAUGGUUCAAUAGUGAAAGACGGUUUUGCUGUCACUUAUAGAUGGAUCCGCGCCGCAUUAGCUAGUUGGUAAGGUAACGGCUUACCAAGGCGACGAUGCGUAGCCGACCUGAGAGGGUGAUCGGCCACACUGGAACUGAGACACGGUCCAGACGCCUACGGGAGGCAGCAGUAGGGAAUCUUCCGCAAUGGGCGAAAGCCUGACGGAGCAACGCCGCGUGAGUGAUGAAGGUCUUCGGAUCGUAAAACUCUGUUAUUAGUGAAGAACAAAUGUGUAAGUAACUAUGCACGUCUUGACGGUACCUAAUCAGAAAGCCACGGCUAACUACGUG
rnacentral:rRNA from 1 species